GUUUUGUUAUAAGUUCCGCUCAAAUGGCUUGACUCUGGGAGACUGAGUAUCGCGCACACGUGAAACUCCCUGGCAGGGAGCCUCCAUAUCUUUGAAUGCAGCUGCCUGUGAAUGCGCCUCUUUUAUUGCCAUGCUCAGAUUUGCAGUGCUUUUAAGAAUAAUUUUUCCAGAUUCUUUUUUUAAAUCAUAACCACCAAGAAGAGAGACUUCAGUUGGCAUUUUAAUACGCUUGCUCCAAUUGCAACCCAGAUUAAUUUGUCGUACUUGGGAGCUCCAGCUCAGCCAAAGUUAUAAAGAAAGGAAUCUUUGCUGUCGUGCAUGUACAUAGGCUUUGCCUCUGCUCUUCUUGAGCCUCCGUAAUGCUCCUUGGCUUAGGACGCCCGUAAUGUUCCUUGGCUUAUGCACAACAUUCGCUGUUUCCCCGUGGCUGCGGCUGUGCGCAGCUCUUGAGGCCUGGCAGCCAAGAGGUCUCAGCUAGUCCAGCUGUGGCUAAUUUAAGAAGUCACAGGUGCAGCAAUAACCAGCCAGCAGGAAGAAUGGAAGCAACGUGGAUACCCUUCUAUGCAAAAGACGUGAAGCUGUUCCUGUGGUUCGCACCAGGGGUGGAGGACAGAUGAUUGGGGGCAGCUAUCCAAGCAAAGCCUCAGGUGCUGAAGCCAGAGUCCGGCCGUACUGUGGAUUUUGGGCAACCAGGAUGCAUUUUAAUGCCUUCUGAUGGGCAUUCAAGCUGCUUACAUCUCUUCUGGCACAUUGCUUUGCAAGCACAAGACUCUGGUUGCGGAAACAAUGCAAUAUAUAUUGAAAAGAAUGCUACAUUCUAACUUAGCAUUGUUGGACUUGUAGGCAGCUUGGGUUUUGAACCUUGUUCCUUAUUCCCGUCAGCUGAUCAGAACUGCAGGAUAUAUAUAUAUAUAUAUAUAUAUCUAUAUAUCUAUAUAUCUAUAUAUCUCAAUCAUUGUUUCCGAAACCUGGGCCUCCGGCUGUUUUUGGACUACAACUCCCAUCAUCCCUAGCUAGCAAGACCAGUGGUCAGGGAUGAUGGGAACCGUAGUCCAAAAACGGCUGGAGACUCAAGUUUGGGAAACAUUGAUAUAAAAUGAUGAGACAGAAUCAUCAUCAUGAGAGUGAGACUAAUCAACUGAGUCAAGAAGCAAGGUGACCUAAAGGUGACCUAACAUGCACUCUCUCCUAUAUAACUUGUUGGAUGUUCUUGGCUUUCUAGACUGGGCAGGUGUUAGACAAGGACAUAACUCAAAACAGCUGUUUUCAAACUACAUUCUUAGCACUUCUGACAAAUCCUAAGGUUUCCAUUCAGGCCCCCUCAAUAUUACAAGUUGUCCAGCACUAUUGAGCUUUCCACUAUAAUGCAUAGUUUCAAGGGAGUGAUUUCUAGGUAAAGCACACAACUUCUCAAGAGGUCAUGGAAAAGGCUCAGAGGAUUGGUUCCUGCCCUGCAUUAAUAGAAUGUGCAAUGUAGAAAACUUCACAUGGCAGAAAUGUCCCUGUGGAAAUGUAGAUAGUUUGAAGGUCACUGACAGAACCAUUCUGCUGUUGUCUAGGGCCUCUUGCAAGGUCUUUUUCUACUUAGAGGGUUCCAUCUAUGGCAUUUCUAGAUAGAGCAAGAAAAAAACUGCUGCUGGUAGACAGUAGAUGGACCCAUGUUCAGCUUGGACCACCUCUGCCCCACAACCUUCGUGACACUUUGAUGCAGAAGCCACUGUGAACUCCAGAUUGCUAAGAGUGGAACAUCAUUAGCUUCUUCUCCUGUGAUCUUCUCAGGCAAGUAUGCCCCAAUUUAGUUGGAUGCGCUAAGGAAGUCUACAGCUUUCUCCAUGUAGGAGGAUCCCAGCAGACCUAAAACCUGGUAGGUAAAAAGCAGAUAACGUAUAUUGCCUUAAGUUAUGUUUCCUGGAAGGGUUAAGCCUAGUAUAUUUAAAUCUCUGUCUUUCCAAGUGCAUCCCUUGAAUGCCAAAAUGCAUCCCUAUGUGUAGAAGGACCAGCCCCCCCCCCCAGAGCUGGCAUCCCAAAAUGCAUCCCUAUGUGUAGAAGGACGAGGGCUCCCCCCUCCCAGCCAGAGUUCACCGGAACUUGGUUCCAGCACACCUCUCAGGUGGGCACCAUUGCCAUUCUAAGAGAACAAGGGAGAAGUUCAUGGUGAGCUCCGACAUUUCUUUUUGUAGAAGAAUAGCACUGAGAAGGAACAAGCCUUUCUCUGGGACAUGGGACUCUUGGGCCAUUGGCUCGAGAGGCCUAGAUGCCAGCAGUGAUUCAUCAGCCAUGGGCUGCUAACUCCUAGCACAUAUGUAGGCAUUGGUAUCCAGAACAGGGAGCAGGUUAGUUUGCAGUCUGUGGAGUGACAGGCAGCCCAGACGAAGGCAGGAGGAUCAGAAGCAGGUUCUGUAGGACAUGGGGCAAUAGGCAAGUUCUUCCAUAUGUUGCAGAGCUCAGCUGCUGUAACUUGGUGCAGGAGAGCAAAAGGCAUUGGAUAUUUGGUAUGCAAACUUCCUACCCAUUUCAGGUUGUCUAUCAGGAGCCAAUGGCUUUGGCCGUAGGGCCCACCACUGGGUCUUCUUGCGCACAGGACUCUGCAUACUUUCACCCUCGAACUGAAUAAGGGGCAUAUGAUACCCCUGGUUCUGUAUGUCACUGUGGCCUUCUGAAUUACAGCUGAACAGGUUUUAGAAAACAGCCAGGUAGCGUACCUAAAAUGGAGACAACGUGCAUCCAUGAUAUUUGAACUACAUGAGUCCUUCCUUGCUCAAGAAAAUGAUACUUUGCAUUCAUAAUGCUUGAAAAUAUAUGACACACAGUUAAUCCCCAGGUGUUUAUUUCUAGUUGUGGUUUGGAAAAGCAACAACAACCACUUUUAUGUAUAGGCUCUAAGAGGAAACCUAGCUUAAUGGGUUCAUUUAAUUCAACACUUUGUGGGCCACACUUCCGAUUUUCUUCACGUACUACACCUUGAUCUUGCACCUUCCAAUUUAACCCUGUAGUUCAAACGCCCUGCACUGACAUACCUCGCGGUUGGAAAGCCUAUGUCUUUCAAGGUUAAGCCAGGUUGAAGCUGUAAGUUGCUUGAGAUGAGAUGUGGAUAAGUCAAUCGAACUAAACAGCAUAAUGGGACCCAUCCGUUCACCCAAGAGUGGUAUCUGAUUCUGAUAAUGCAUAUCAGCUGACAGGUGUCUUGUUGAGCUUUGUUCUUGCCAUUAUGCUUUCGAAAAGGUGCCUGCAAUGAAGUGCAGAUGACUAUCUAAGGAGGCUAAGAAGUUUGCUUAAUCAGAUUGCCUGACGGUGUCUAGCUGCAUUUACAAACCAGUACAGACAGCAGUGGUGGAAGCGAAGAGUCCAAGGACAUCUGCUACUCAGAUGAAUAGCAAGCAUAUACGUUUAUGCCAUUCAUAUUCAAGUGUGUUGGUAUUGUUAGGAAAACCUUUAAAAUGUUGGACCCACUUCUAUAGUACUACAUACCUAGGUGGAAGUUUGUGACAUUUCAUGAAGUUUUCUAUGCCUCUGGGGUGGAGAAAGGAGACACUUACAUUCCCUACUGAUCAAACAUGUAGGUACUCCAGGAAUUAUUAUUGGAAAUAUAGCACCACAUUAAGUGUCUCGUAGAACCAUCAUUUCACUUUCUGUGGCUUUCAGAGGAGCGAUGCCUUUGUACAAUAUUUGCUUUGUUACUUUAAAAGAUUUUAAAGUCACCUUUCACCAGUACCGAUGCCAGGGUGGGGAACAACAUAAAAUCAAUUUUAAAUUACUACUACUAAAUAUCGCAGACCCUCCAAGUGUCCCUAUUUUCCAGGGACAGUCCCGGAUUUGCAGAAGACAUCCUGGUUUCUGAUUUGAUCCCGGAAUGUCCCGCUUUUCCUUAGGACGUCCCUAUUUUCAUCAGAUAAGUGUUGGAGGGUAUGGAGUCCCCCGCCCCCAAGCCAAGGACAUAAGUAACUAUACAACUUUUAGAAGACAUUUGAAAGCAGCCCUGUAUGGGGAAGGCCCCCCCCCACAAUGUUUAAUAUUUUAUUAUGUUUCUAUAUAUGUUGAAAACCGCCCAGCGUGGCUGGGGCAACCCAGUCAGAUGGGCGGCGUAUAAAUAAUAAAAUUAUUAUUAUGGAAUAGGAUGUCCCUGUUUUCAUUGGAGAAAUGUUGGAGAAUAUGAAUAUCAUCUCAAGAACACUAGCAAACAAAGGUUGCUAGAAACAGCUAAGCAGAGGAGAAGAGUAAAACAGUCCUUCAUUAAAGGCUGAGAGAACAGGCACAUAUUCACUUGAAAACAAAUCUGUGGCAGACCCUGGGGUUUCCAAUAUCAGUGCUACCCAGUCCGGCACCAAAAGUCAGUGCCCCCUGCCUCCCACCUUCCAUUCUACAUCAUAGUUGUGACCCUCCCUGCUGCACCCCUGAGGCUCUGUGCCCAGUGCGACAGAAGCAGUCGCGUCCCCCUAAUCUACAUCUGACAAUAUCAGGGCCUUUCAAAAAUGGACUCUAUUCUGCUUUGCCACCCGAUGAGAUUCCCCCAAAAGUGGAAUGUGAAGAAGAACCAUCUCUGGGAAUCUUAAGGCAAAGGCUGAUAGAGGAAGAGGCAUUGGGGUUCCAGGCCAUUUAGAACUUCAAAUAACACCAGCAGCUUGAACUGGGAUUGAAUGCAUAUAGGGAGCCAACACAGUUCUUUAAGGAUUGAUAUUAGUCAAUGUGCAAGCAACUUUUUGAAAGCAUGCAAUGGUUGAUAAUUGAAAGGGAAAACAGGAGAAAGGCUUCAUGGCUCCGAUGCUAUUUUGCAGAAGUGUUUUCUUCAGCAUCAUAUGUGAAAGCAAUCCUAAGCGUGGACAGAUCUGUCCUUUUGCGUCUAAUCUUCCCCUUCCAUCCACUGGUUUAAUUAUUGGAAGGCAUGGGGUAGAGAGAGACAGAGACAAAGAGAGAAAUGUAAGAAAAAGAGAGAGCAAUCAUGUCACAAUUAUUUGGCAAAGUCUGUUGCUUUCCAGUAGAGGGCAAUAAUAUAUACUUUUUCUCAAAAGUUAAGUAUUUUAACUUGGUUAAGGGAGCCUGGAUACUAAAACAAUAAGCCCAGGUACCAACAUUUCUGUGUCAAAAGCAAAAUCUCAUGGCGCCCAAAUUUUGAGCUGGAGGCAGACCAAACACAAUUAAUUUAGGAUGCUGUUAACCACUCUUUCUCUUCCCUUUUUCUUAAAUAGUCAUUCUGCAAUUUUUUCGUCCAGAAAUUAUACCCCUUGUGGCACCUGGAUUUAUUAAAAGAAAAAAGAAAAAAGCAAGGAAAGAUGAAGAAAAAAAGACCACAACAAAGAUGCAAAGAUCAGAGGCCUUUAAUAGUCUCAAUAACAAACUUAAUUUUCUUAUAUUUGUAAGUGUAUUGUAACAUUAUGUUGUAUAUUUUGAAUCUUCAACGAAAAAGAACAACAGAAAGAUGUAACAAGGUUAUGGGUAUGUGAACUUGGAACUGUCUUUUUAAAAGCACACAGUUGUUGUUUUUUUAAAAAAAGAUUAUUACCCAAGCAAAAUUGAAAGGUAACAUCACAUGCAUUUUCACACACAGACCCCCCAAGUGCUCCUAUUUCCCAGGGUCAGCCCUGGAUUUACAGAAGCCGUCCCAGUUUCUGGUUUGAUCCUGGAAUGUCCUAUUUUAUCCCUAUUUCCAUCAGAGAAAUGUUAGAAGAUAUGACAGGACGUCCCUAUUUUCAUCGGAGGGUAUGGAGCCUUUAAUCAAGGAGAUAAAUAACUAUGCAAUCUUUAGAAGACAUCUGAAGGCGGUGCUGUAUAGGGAAGGUUUUUUUUUAAUGUUUCAUAUUUUAUGGUGUUUUUUAUAAAUGUUGGAAGAUGCCCAGAGCGGUUGGGGCAACCCAGUCAGAUGGGCAGGGUAUAAAUAGUAGUAGUAGUAGUAAUAAUAAUAAUAAGAAUAAUAAUAAUAAUGUCCCUAUUUUCAUUGGAGAAAUGUUGGAGGGUAUAUGCAGACAAAUAUAGAGAAAAUCCUCAUUGUUUGUAGCUAAUAUUUCCCCAUGCAUUCUGAAGGCAGCUCUGUCAGGACAGUGUGUGGUCAGAAGAAAUGACUUUCUAAUAGUCAGCUUAUAUGGUGCUGAGAACAGGAGCUACUUAGCAACAGGGAAGUGUAAUCACAGACGCAUUGGAAAGCUUUUGUAGAAUGCUAGAGUGGACAUUUGUGAUCUUAAGGAAGAGUCAAGUGAGGAACAUUCAUAAUAGUUUGGAUAUUCAACUCUAGCAAGAGCCAAUGUUCAAAGGAAGAAGAAUCCUGCUCUGUCAACUAUGCCAAGGUGUUCCUCAGAAACGAUACACUUGCCAAUCUCGGAGCACAUUAAUAAGUAUUUUAAAAGACAAGUGUUCGCUUUUACGACCUUAAGUAACAGCUUUUUUUUUUGAAUUUUUAAUAACAUUAAACUACAGUGCAUAUUUCUUGAUGCUAAUGGGUGCGUUAAUUUCCAUGCGGCAUUUUCUUACGCCAUUUUUAAUUCAGCUCCCUUUCCUGUUUUUAGUAUAAUAAUUGCUUACAGUAUUCUGACUUGAUUUUAUAUGACUAAUUAGAGCCAUGCUGGUAAAGGAAAAAAAAAAAUCAGGUUUGCAGGUAAUAUUGAAAUUAAAUAUGUUAAUUUGUAGUACAGAGCGCAGAUUUUAUAUGAGUUUUAAUUUGGUAUAGAAUCUAUAGUUCUGUGUUUAUAAAGUGCCCUUGAACAACUGCCCUGUUUUUCAAAAGUUAAUACCACAGGGAAACUAAUACACAAAACAUUUAGCUAAAGGCUGUUCCAGGAUGAAUUAUAUGGGGAG